UACGUAGGCAGCGAGCGUUGUUCGGAGUUACUGGUCGUAAAGAGUGCGUAGGCGGUUUUCUAAGUUUGGUGUGAAAUCUCCCGGCUCAACUGGGAGGGUGCGCCGAAAACUGGAGAGCUUGAGUAUGGGAGAGGAAAGCGGAAUUCCUGGUGUAGCGGUGAAAUGCGUAGAUAUCAGGAGGAACACCUGUGGUGUAGACGGCUUUCUGGACCAUCACUGACGCUGAGACACGAAAGCGUGGGGAGCAAACAGG
rnacentral:rRNA from 1 species